GGUUAAGCGACUAAGCGUACACGGUGGAUGCCCUGGCAGUCAGAGGCGAUGAAGGACGUGCUAAUCUGCGAUAAGCGUCGGUAAGGUGAUAUGAACCGUUAUAACCGGCGAUUUCCGAAUGGGGAAACCCAGUGUGUUUCGACACACUAUCAUUAACUGAAUCCAUAGGUUAAUGAGGCGAACCGGGGGAACUGAAACAUCUAAGUACCCCGAGGAAAAGAAAUCAACCGAGAUUCCCCCAGUAGCGGCGAGCGAACGGGGAGCAGCCCAGAGCCUGAAUCAGUAUGUGUGUUAGUGGAAGCGUCUGGAAAGGCGCGCGAUACAGGGUGACAGCCCCGUACACAAAAAUGCACAUGCUGUGAGCUCGAUGAGUAGGGCGGGACACGUGGUAUCCUGUCUGAAUAUGGGGGGACCAUCCUCCAAGGCUAAAUACUCCUGACUGACCGAUAGUGAACCAGUACCGUGAGGGAAAGGCGAAAAGAACCCCGGCGAGGGGAGUGAAAAAGAACCUGAAACCGUGUACGUACAAGCAGUGGGAGCACGCUUAGGCGUGUGACUGCGUACCUUUUGUAUAAUGGGUCAGCGACUUAUAUUCUGUAGCAAGGUUAACCGAAUAGGGGAGCCGAAGGGAAACCGAGUCUUAACUGGGCGUUAAGUUGCAGGGUAUAGACCCGAAACCCGGUGAUCUAGCCAUGGGCAGGUUGAAGGUUGGGUAACACUAACUGGAGGACCGAACCGACUAAUGUUGAAAAAUUAGCGGAUGACUUGUGGCUGGGGGUGAAAGGCCAAUCAAACCGGGAGAUAGCUGGUUCUCCCCGAAAGCUAUUUAGGUAGCGCCUCGUGAAUUCAUCUCCGGGGGUAGAGCACUGUUUCGGCAAGGGGGUCAUCCCGACUUACCAACCCGAUGCAAACUGCGAAUACCGGAGAAUGUUAUCACGGGAGACACACGGCGGGUGCUAACGUCCGUCGUGAAGAGGGAAACAACCCAGACCGCCAGCUAAGGUCCCAAAGUCAUGGUUAAGUGGGAAACGAUGUGGGAAGGCCCAGACAGCCAGGAUGUUGGCUUAGAAGCAGC
rnacentral:rRNA from 1 species